GAUGAACGCUGGCGGCGUGCCUAAUACAUGCAAGUCGAGCGAACGGACGAGAAGCUUGCUUCUCUGAUGUUAGCGGCGGACGGGUGAGUAACACGUGGAUAACCUACCUAUAAGACUGGGAUAACUUCGGGAAACCGGAGCUAAUACCGGAUAAUAUUUUGAACCGCAUGGUUCAAAAGUGAAAGACGGUUUUGCUGUCACUUAUAGAUGGAUCCGCGCUGCAUUAGCUAGUUGGUAAGGUAACGGCUUACCAAGGCAACGAUGCGUAGCCGACCUGAGAGGGUGAUCGGCCACACUGGAACUGAGACACGGUCCAGACUCCUACGGGAGGCAGCAGUAGGGAAUCUUCCGCAAUGGGCGAAAGCCUGACGGAGCAACGCCGCGUGAGUGAUGAAGGUCUUCGGAUCGUAAAACUCUGUUAUUAGGGAAGAACAUAUGUGUAAGUAACAGUGCACGUCUUGACGGUACCUAAUCAGAAAGCCACGGCUAACUACGUG
rnacentral:rRNA from 1 species